UACGUAGGGUGCGAGCGUUGUCCGGAAUUAUUGGGCGUAAAGAGCCCGUAGGCGGUCUGUCGCGUCUGCUGUGAAAUCCCGAGGCUCAACCUCGGGCUUGCAGUGGGUACGGGCAGGCUAGAGUGCGGUAGGGGAGACUGGAAUUCCUGGUGUAGCGGUGAAAUGCGCAGAUAUCAGGAGGAACACCAAUGGCGAAGGCAGCUCGCUGGGACGUGACUGACGCUGAGACGCGAAGGCCAGGGGAGCAAACGGG
rnacentral:rRNA from 1 species